GGAAGGUUUUCAGUCCGGCUGUAACGUUGGUCUUGGUGAGCCAUGUUUUUCGGUCCUUCGUCAACGUCGCAUUUUGACAACGUGACUCCAAGGAGAUAUUAUCGUUGAUUAAGUUGAAGACUUCGCGAGAACCUGGGAUUUGGUGAAGACUCGCAAGAUGUCGUUACUGUAACAUAAUAGACAGCAGCCAUCGGGUGACGUGAACGAUAUAGAAAUAAGCUUCAGGGAGUGGUUUCAUUCCAGCAUGAUAAACGAUCCUCGAGCGAGAGACAACAUCCCUUCACAUGUAGGGAACAUGAUAUCUGCUAUAUCAAGUUUCCAUCCUUGGACGAAUGUUUGACGCCAAGCGCAAGAAUUUACCUCCAGUAAGGGAUCUCGGUAUCUGUAAUGGUUUAUUCCUAUUGUAGACACUGUCGUAUUUCUGAUAUUGUUGAAGUUUUUCUGGGCUUUCCUUUCACCUUCUAACCUCUGUAUUUGUUAAAGUCGAUGGUGAUGGUACGUACACAUAAAAGACUUAACGGAGUGACUAAUUUAUAGAUGAGAAGAAACUCUUAUUACCUAACUUUCUUUAGAGCAGUAUAAUUUGUUUAAAAAAUCAGAUUUUACAAAAACAGAAUAAAGUAUUUGUUUAGGUAUUAGCUGACUCUCCUUAGCUUGUGACCGUUUUCGUAAUUUGGACACAAUUUUAGAUAUUUAAAAAAUUCCAAACUUAUCACUUAAAGGUCUUUAACUUGUUCGGGGUUUGUAGUCACAAUUAUGCACAUUUUGAGCAAGUUGUUUUGGUAACAUAAGCUUUUGUAACAAAGUAAUUCCAUUCAAAGGGCUAAAGUUAGAAUUGCAGGUGUGGAAACUAGAGUAAAAUUUUGAUUCAACCUAAACUACCUGGCUUCUAUCAAGCCAUUGUUUCGAUAAAGAUCAUAAUCGCUUUAUUAUUACUGUGAUCAACUUUAUAAUGCCAAGUUUCUGCAGUCAGAACGGAAUGAAAGAUUAUUGCAGAGUGAAAACUUGACAGGGUGAUCAAAUGCUAAAUCAUCUGCAGAAAUUGUUGGAAGCAAAUUUAAAUCAGGGGAGAAGCUGGUGCAAAGUCUAAGGGCUAAAUUCAGCUUUAGUUCGUCAGUGAUAUUAGCCUUGGCACUAGAAAAUAACCCCUACCAAAACAGUUACACAGAGAUAGAAUGGUAACGAAAUAUGAAAUUUAGACCAAGGCCAAGCACUGGGACCUAAUAGGUUAUUCAACACAGACAAUUGAAACCGGAAAAGGACACGUAGUCGAAUUAGUCUAUAGGAAUUAAAAAGGUAGUGAAGUGGACUGUCGAAUUUUACUUCGCAUAUUCAUAGUAUGUGUAAAUUUGAGUGAUGAAGAAAGACGCUUGAUGAUUGGAAGGGCAUAAGAAGUGAUUGGAUGUCUUUUGAGUACUUUUUUCUAGAGAGAGAGAGAGAGAGAGAGAGAGAGAGAGAGAGAGAGAGAGAGAGAGUAUACUGUUCAAGAACUGAUUCUUCAUUUGUAUAAGUGUUAUUCGCGGAGAGUAUUUUGUUGUGGAGUACCUUUCACAGGCAACUGAAUUUUUUUAUUUUGAUGGUUAUCGUUUUCCUUUACAUUUCAAACAAAAUUUGAAAAUUUAAUUCUUUGUCCAGUAUUUUGACCGUCCUAAAAUAUAUAAAGGAAACUAAAUGUUAAAGUUCAGGAGAAAAAUCAGCAUUAAUGUAUAGUUAACGUAUGUGGCUGCAUUUUUAAGAAUCUUCUCAAAGCAAUUUUUAAAUUAUUUUUUAACUAACAUUACAAGUGGAGUCAAAGUGCUUUGGUUGAUCAACUCCAUUGAGGUCGGUAAUCCUUUUGUAAAUACAAAGAUCAUCAUCAUCAUCAUAAUUAUCUUUUAUAUCAGCAUGUCCAUGGAAAUGGUUAGACGUGGAAGGGGUUGUCUCCACUCCUCUCUGUUGGGUACAAUUUCCGACUGUUCCAUAUCUAUCCUAUCUCCUUUUUUCACCAAAUUAAUUCUUGCUACCUCUUUUUUUAUUGCUUUUUCGACUAAUUUAAACUUACCACCCCUUCCCAUAUAUCCCAAAUUAUGAGUUAUUCUACAAUCUCAGGGUAUCAAUUGCAGGAUCUUCACAUUGCACUAGGACAAUAAAUCUUAGCAUGAUAAUGAUGCCUUUUAGUCCUCGUUAUAUCUUUGUCAGCACCUGUGUUUCUGCAGCACUGAAUCAACCAUUUCUUAUGGAUGCAUCAUAAGACCUUGCUUGUCUGAUAAGUUAUUUUCUUAUCCAUCAAUCUUUUUCAUCAAUACAUGGCUCUUCUUGUUCUUAUUAAUACCACAAUACUACCUAAGGGGAUAGUUUCCCCAUG